UACGUAGGCAGCGAGCGUUGUUCGGAGUUACUGGGCGUAAAGGGUGUGUAGGCGGUUGUUUAAGUUUGGUGUGAAAUCUCCCGGCUCAACUGGGAGGGUGCGCCGAAUACUGAAUGACUUGGAGUGCGGGAGAGGAAAGUGGAAUUCCUGGUGUAGCGGUGAAACGCGUAGAUAUCAGGAGGAACACCGGUGGUGUAGACGGCUUUCUGGACCGUAACUGACGCUGAGACACGAAAGCGUGGGUAGCAAACAGG
rnacentral:rRNA from 1 species